rnacentral:misc_RNA from 1 species
GAUGAAGAACGCAGCGAAAUGCGAUACGUAAUGUGAAUUGCAGAAUUCAGUGAAUCAUCGAAUCUUUGAACGCAUAUUGCGCUCUCUGGUAUUCCGGAGAGCAUGCUUGUUUGAGUAUCAGUAAACACCUCAACUCCCUUUUCUUUUUUGAAAUGGGAGCUGGACUUGAGUGAUCCCAACGCUUUUCUCACCGGAAAGUGGCGGGUUACUUGAAAUGCAGGUGCAGCUGGACUUUUCUCUGAGCUAUAGGCAUAUCAAUUUAGUCUGCCUAAAAACAGAUUAUUACCUUUGCUGCAGCUAACAUAAAGGAGAUUAGUUCUUGUGCUGACUGAUGCAGGAUUCACAGAGACAGCUUCGGCUGACUUUGUAAACUCGAUCUCAAAUCAAGUAAGACUACCCGCCGAACUUAAGCAUAUCAAUAAGCGGAGGA